CGUAGGGUGCGAGCGUUAAUCGGAAUUACUGGGCGUAAAGCGUGCGCAGGCGGUUUUGUAAGACAGGCGUGAAAUCCCCGGGCUCAACCUGGGAACUGCGCUUGUGACUGCAGGGCUAGAGUACGGCAGAGGGGGUGGAAUUCCACGUGUAGCAGUGAAAUGCGUAGAGAUGUGGAGGAACACCAAUGGCGAAGGCAGCCCCCUGGGUCGAUACUGACGCUCAUGCACGAAAGCGUGGGUAGCAAACAGGAUUAGAUACCCUGGUAGUCCACGCCCUAAACGAUGUCAACUAGGUGUUGGGUGGGUAAAACCAUUUAGUACCGGAGCUAACGCGUGAAGUUGACCGCCUGGGGAGUACGGCCGCAAGGUUA
rnacentral:rRNA from 1 species